rnacentral:rRNA from 1 species
AGUUCGGUCUCUAUCUACUGCGGGCGUUAGAGAUUUGAGUGGACCUGACCCUAGUACGAGAGGACCGGGUUGGACCGACCACUGGUGCGCCGGUUGUCCCGCCAGGGGCAUCGCCGGGUAGCUAAGUCGGGAUGGGAUAAGCGCUGAAGGCAUAUAAGCGCGAAACCCGCCACAAGAUGAGAUCUCUUUAAAGGGCCGUGGGAGAUGACCACGUCGAUAGGCCGUAGGUGGAAGUGCAGCGAUGCAUGUAGCCGAGCGGUACUAAUUGCCCGUAAGCUUGCGCA